GCCACGGCCCUCUUCAGGGCCACCCUCAGCUGCUGGUGGAAGAUG
rfam:Takifugu rubripes chromosome, Chr_21